AUUGGUUAUCAGUUCUUAAAAAUUCUACUUCAAUCCAAUACAUUUUCUUUUACACAGUCCGAUAACAUGAAAUUCGUUUCUUUGUAUUUUAUUCUGUUCUUCCUGGGCAUUCUAAUUUGUCCAUCUUUGUCAAAAACUUGUACAAGUAAUCAAGAAUGCCUACCUGAAACAGCCACUUGCAUUGGUGGUAGGUGUAUCAAAUUCAGCUAAUUAAGCUAUGUCAUCUAAAUGAAUAAAGAAUAAAUAACUCGCAAAA